UACGAAGGGGGCUAGCGUUGUUCGGUUUUACUGGGCGUAAAGCGCGCGUAGGCGGAUCGCUAAGUCAGGGGUGAAAUCCCAAGGCUCAACCUUGGAAUUGCCUUUGAUACUGGCAAUCUGGAGUUCGGGAGAGGUGAGUGGAAUUCCGAGUGUAGAGGUGAAAUUCGUAGAUAUUCGGAGGAACACCAGAAGCGAAGGCGGCUCACUGGCCCGAUACUGACGCUGAGGCGCGAAAGCGUGGGGAGCAAACGGG
rnacentral:rRNA from 1 species